GAUGAACGCUAGCGGCAGGCUUGAUACAUGCAAGUCGAGGGACAGCACAGGUAGCAAUACUGGGUGGUAACCGGCAAACGGGUGCGGAACACGUACACAACCUUCCUUUAAGUGGGGGAUAGCCCAGAGAAAUUUGGAUUAAUACCCCGUAAUAUAGUUGAAUGGCAUCAUUUGAUUAUUAUAGCUACGGCGCUUAAUAAUGGGUGUGCGGCUGAUUAGAUAGUUGGCGGGGUAACGGCCCACCAAGUCUACGAUCAGUAGCUGAUGUGAGAGCAAGAUCAGCCACACGGGCACUGAGACACGGGCCCGACUCCUACGGGAGGCAGCAGUAAGGAAUAUUGGUCAAUGGACGCAAGUCUGAACCAGCCAUGCCGCGUGAAGGAUUAAGGUCCUCUGGAUUGUAAACUUCUUUUAUUUGGGACGAAAAAGGGUCUUUCUAGAUCAACUGACGGUACCAGAUGAAUAAGCACCGGCUAACUCCGUGCCAGCCGCCGCGGUAAAAC
rnacentral:rRNA from 1 species